UUCGGAUUGGAGGCUGAAACCCGCCUCCAUGAAGUUGGAUUCGCUAGUAAUCGCGCAUCAGCCAUGGCGCGGUGAAUACGUUCCCGGGCCUUGUACACACCGCCCGUCAAGCCAUGGGAGCCGGGGGUGCCUGAAGUUCGUUACCGCAAGGAUCGACCUAGGGCAAAACUGGUGACUGGGGCUAAGUCGUAACAAGGUAAC
rnacentral:rRNA from 1 species